UACGUAGGGCGCAAGCGUUGUCCGGAAUUAUUGGGCGUAAAGAGCUCGUAGGCGGCUUGUCACGUCGGGUGUGAAAGCCCGGGGCUUAACCCCGGGUCUGCAUUCGAUACGGGCAGGCUAGAGUGUGGUAGGGGAGACUGGAAUUCCGGGUGUAGCGGUGAAAUGCGCAGAUAUCAGGAGGAACACCGGUGGCGAAGGCGGUUCUCUGGGCAUGUCCUGACGCUGAGGAGCGAAAGUGUGGGGAGCGAACAGG
rnacentral:rRNA from 1 species